rnacentral:rRNA from 1 species
UGACCCCAUGCCGAACUCAGAAGUGAAACGCCGUAGCGCCGAUGGUAGUGUGGGGUCUCCCCAUGUGAGAGUAGGGAACUGCCA